ACGAACGCUGGCGGCGUGCCUAAUACAUGCAAGUCGAGCGGAAUGAUGAAGAAGCUUGCUUCUUCUGAUUUUAGCGGCGGACGGGUGAGUAACACGUGGGCAACCUACCUUGUAGAUUGGGAUAACUCCGGGAAACCGGGGCUAAUACCGAAUAAUCCAUUUUGCUUCAUGGCGAGAUGUUGAAAGACGGUUUCGGCUGUCACUACAAGAUGGGCCCGCGGCGCAUUAGCUAGUUGGUAGGGUAAUGGCCUACCAAGGCGACGAUGCGUAGCCGACCUGAGAGGGUGAUCGGCCACACUGGGACUGAGACACGGCCCAGACUCCUACGGGAGGCAGCAGUAGGGAAUCUUCCACAAUGGACGAAAGUCUGAUGGAGCAACGCCGCGUGAGUGAAGAAGGUUUUCGGAUCGUAAAACUCUGUUGUAAGGGAAGAACACGUACGAGAGUAACUGCUCGUACCUUGACGGUACCUUAUUAGAAAGCCACGGCUAACUACGUG
rnacentral:rRNA from 1 species